GACGAGUACCCCAAGCGUUAUCCGGAAUUACUGGGCAUAAAGGGUGCGUAGGUGGUGUAGUUAGUCUUUUGUGAAAACUCCCGGCUUAACCGGGAAGACGCGGAAGAUACGGCUAUACUAGAGAGCGUGAGAGGUCUGUGGAACUCAUGGUGUAGGGGUGAAAUCCGUUGAUAUCAUGGGGAACGCCAAAAGUGAAGACAGCAGACUGGCACGUUUCUGACACUGAGGCACGAAAGCGU
rnacentral:rRNA from 1 species